rnacentral:lncRNA from 1 species
GGCGUGAGGUGUAGGGUCUAGGGUUUUAACUCUAGAUUUUGUAAGAAAAAAAAUACAAGAGUGAGUCUUGUUCAAUCUGCCACACCACCACCUCCUUAUAAAGCUUCAUCUUCUAAUCUGAAAAAAUCUGAAAGAUCUGAAGAAAGGAGCUUGGAUCAGCCAUCUAGAGCCUUCGACGCGACCUAGCACUCUCGCAAAGGAAUAUCUGAUC